CAUUGUGGGAGCGCAGCACCAUCUUGGCUGGCCACGAAUCAAAACAAGAUUGCUACGAACCAUUCUGAAACGUAGCUCAAAAGAAAAUGACGGUAUAGAGACAGAUUGUGUCCAGAUGCAAAGAGACGGUACUUGAUUGUUGAAAUGUGGACCCGUAUGAAAUACUGCCGUGGAGUAGAAACCCUGAAGACCAAACCGCUAUUGACUUAGCAUGAUCUACUCUGGUACCUUGUCUGUGGAGUCAGCGCAUACACAGCGCACCAAUUUCGCAAUUAUAAAUCUCUGGAGGCGCACAUCCAAUUCACCAAGGACUGGGUACAAGAUUUGGCUAUUUUUAAGCCUCCACGUUGUGAGUACGCCGUCAUUCAAGCAAAGGUGCUGCACUCUUAAAGACUGAAUUGCAGCAUUGCAGCCACAGGUCAUUGUGAGCAUCACAGGGAAGGUUGAAGCCGCCCACUGCACCUGUAUGGCCGGAGUCGUGGAGACCUGCAGCCAUGUCGCUGCUCUUUUGUUUAAUGUAGAAGCAACAGUGUUGAUCUGUGGCACAAGGACUGUUACAGAUGAACCUGCAUACUGGGUUUUGCCUGGUAAUAUGACCAAGACACAGCCAGAGGUUGGCCAUAAGAUAGACUUCUCCUCUUCAGCUGCCCAAAAAAAGGUUCUUGAUCAAAACAUAAACAGACCAUUCGUAGUGACAGGAAAAAGAAGCCGUCCUCAGAAAAGAAAAGUUCCACCUGCUACUGUGGAGGAGUUGGAUCAACUGAUGGGACAAUAUUUUUCCAAGCAUAGUUCUGUUCUGAAUAACCCAUAAUAUUUUAAUUUAGGGGGCCAUGUAAAUAAUUUGCAUUUACUGAAUAUGUACUUACUAAGUACCACUGUUCAAAAGAAACAAGGAAAUGUUUGCCUAUUUUUAAUUAAAAGCACUUUGUAGAACAUCAAAUCAGUUACAAUGUAGAAUCAAUGUUAUGUUAUGUACAAAUGACAAAAUGUUCACAUAAAAUCAUGACAGCAUUUAAAUAAUAUCACCCACUACUAGCAUUCUGUAAUUUACUGUCUCUUUUGAAAACUUAUCACUACAUAAACAGCACAAGCCUUUUAAAAGUAUUUAACAAGAGCAUUUUUCCCUGGUUUUACUACCACACUGGGGCACAUGUUCACCAAAACGCAGCAAACCUUUGCCAUCUUAUCCACGAGGGUCACCUUUUUACCUACACAUGGAAGAAGUAAUCUGAUUGGUAUGGUGGUAUGUAGCAUGUAGUUUGAAGCAGGGAUUUCGUAGUGCCCCAUGUGUAGUGUUGGAACCCAGUCAGGAUUUGUUUCUUUCAUUUCAUAGGCUGGUUUGCUGCAAUAAUGCCAAAUAAUUAGCAAUUCUAUAAAUA
ensembl:lncRNA